GGAAAUUAAAUAAGAUAUCAGAGACCACAUAGAUCAUAGAUCAUAAAUGCUUCCAAGGACACAAAAGCAAAAGCAUAAGAAGUGUUUAACUCCUGAAUUCCUUGUACUUAGAUGAGAACUAGAAUAUGCAUACCUCAACAGUAUGGAGAACCACAAGCUUCAAUUGUUGCUGCUUUUCACUUCCUAGCAGUCCCCUGCACAUCAUCACUGUUUUGCCUCUUGCUUCCGAACACCCUGGAUCUCAUGGAGCCCUACAAAAACCGCACUAUCACACUGUAAAUAAGCUCACAGUAGCACAACUAUGA
rnacentral:lncRNA from 1 species